UACGUAGGUCGCAAGCGUUGUCCGGAUUUACUGGGCGUAAAGAGCGCGCAGGCGGCUGGUCAAGUCCGAUGUGAAAUCUCCCGGCUCAACUGGGAAACUGCAUCGGAAACUGAUCGGCUUGAAGAUGGGAGAGGGUAGUGGAAUUCCGCGUGUAGUGGUGAAAUGCGUAGAGAUGCGGAGGAACACCAGUGGCGAAAGCGGGUUGCUGGGCUGACACUGACGCUGAUGCGCGAAAGCCAGGGGAGCGAGCGGG
rnacentral:rRNA from 1 species